GACGAACGCUGGCGGCGUGCUUAACACAUGCAAGUCGAACGGUGAAGCGCCUUCCUUUUUGGUGGGUGUGGAUGAGUGGCGAACGGGUGAGUAACACGUGAGUAACCUGCCCCCUUCUUCUGGAUAACCGCAUGAAAGUGUGGCUAAUACGGGAUAUUCUGGGUCUGUCGCAUGAUGGGUCUGGGAAAGAUAUUGUUUCGGUGGGGGAUGGGCUCGCGGCCUAUCAGCUUGUUGGUGGGGUGAUGGCCUACCAAGGCGGUGACGGGUAGCCGGCCUGAGAGGGUGGACGGUCACACUGGGACGGAGACACGGCCCAGACUCCUACGGGAGGCAGCAGGGGGGAAUAUUGCACAAUGGGCGCAAGCCUGAUGCAGCGACGCCGCGGGAGGGAUGGAGGCCUUCGGGUUGUGAACCUCUUUCGCCAGUGAAGCAGGCCUGCCUCGUUUGUGGGUGGGUUGACGGUAGCUGGAUAAGAAGCGCCGGCUAACUACGUG
rnacentral:rRNA from 1 species